CAUGCACCUUACUGCAUGGUACAACAGAUUACCUGGGAGGCCAAAUUCAGCAAUGCCAGUAGUUAUAAAACUAAAGGAUUCUAGCCAAUUUUCAAUUGGAAAACAAUAUCCAAUAAAGAAGAGGCCCAUGAUGACUUCAAGUUUAAUGUGACUCUUUUGCUCCCAAUAUUUUAUUCAGCUUUCCCAUUCUUUCGAGACUGGAGGGUAGACAGAGCUAUCGGAUAAAGUAAACCCUACCUGAACUGUCUCAGACAAAGGACCACCCAAAACCAAAAAGCUACUUCUGUGAACUUAUGGAAGAUCUGAGGCUCCUCUUCAAAAAGCAAAGCUCCAGUACUGCUCCAGGUCCUAGUUUGCCUUCUGCCUCCACCAUUGGAUGAUGUUGCAAGAAGGCCCUCUCCAGAUUCAGGCCCC